UGGGGAAUAUUGGACAAUGGGCGAAAGCCUGAUCCAGCCAUGCCGCGUGUGGGAAGAAGGCCUUUUGGUUGUAAAGCACUUUAAGCGAGGAGGAGGCUACUUGGAUUAAUACUCUAGGAUAGUGGACGUUACUCGCAGAAUAAGCACCGGCUAACUCUGUGCCAGCAGCCGCGGUAAUACAGAGGGUGCGAGCGUUAAUCGGAUUUACUGGGCGUAAAGCGUGCGUAGGCGGCUUUUUAAGUCGGAUGUGAAAUCCCUGAGCUUAACUUAGGAAUUGCAUUCGAUACUGGGAAGCUAGAGUAUGGGAGAGGAUGGUAGAAUUCCAGGUGUAGCGGUGAAAUGCGUAGAGAUCUGGAGGAAUACCGAUGGCGAAGGCAGCCAUCUGGCCUAAUACUGACGCUGAGGUACGAAAGCAUGGGGAGCAAACAGG
rnacentral:rRNA from 1 species